rnacentral:lncRNA from 13 species
GUAGAAGAAAAAUUUUAAAAAAUUAAAAAGUGAAAGAUUCAACUCAAAAACUUGAAAAUUACUGCCUCUAGAAUGCUAAGAAUGGGGCAGUGGGUGGUGGCUCACAUCUGUAAUCCCAGCACUUUGGGAGGCCAAGGUGGGCAGAUCACAAGGUCAGGACAUCCAGACCAGCCUGGCCAACACAGUGAAACCCAUCUCUACUAAUAAGUACAAAAAAAAUUAGCCAGGUAUGGUGGUAUGUGCCUGUAGUCCCAGCUACUCAGGAGGCUGAGGAAGGAGAAUCUCUUGAAUCUGGGAGGUGGAGUUUGCAGUGAGCUGAGAUCACACCACUGCACUCCAGGUUGGGCAACAGAGUGAGACUUCAUCUGAAAGAAAGAAAGAAGGAAAGGAAGGAAGGAAGGAAGGAAGGAAGGAAGGAAGGAAGAAAGAAGAAGGAAAGAAAGAAAGAAAGAAGGAAAGAAGAAAAGAAAGAAAGAAAGAAGAAAGAAGAAAAGAAAGAAAGAAGGAAAGAAAAGAAGAAAGAAGGAAAGAAAGAAGAAAGAAAGAAGGAAAGAAAGAAAGAAGAAAGAAGGAAAGAAAGAAGGAAAGAAAGAAACAAGGAAAGAAAGAAACAAAGAAGAAAGAAGGAAAGAAAGAAAGAAGAAAGAAGGAAAGAAAGAAAGAAGAAAGAAGGAAAGAAAGAAAGAAGGAAAGAAAGAAAGAAGAAGGAAAGAAAGAAAGAAGAAAGAAAGAAGGAAAGAAAGAAGAAGGAAAGAAAGAAAGAAGAAAGAAGGAAAGAAAAAAAGAAAGAAGAAAGAAGGAAAGAAAAAAAGAAAGAAGAAAGAAGGGAAGAAAAAAGAAAGAAGAAAGAAGGAAAGAAGAAAGAAGGAAAGAAAGAAGAAGGAAAGAAAGAAGGAAAGAAAGAAGAACAAAGGAAGGAAAGAAAGAAAGAAGAAAGAAGGAAAGAAAGAAGAACGAAGGAAAGAAAGAAAGAAGAAAGAAGGAAAGAAAGAAAGAAGAAAGAAGGAAAGAAAGAAAGAAGAAAGAAGGAAAGAAAGAAAGAAGAAAGAAGGAAAGAAAGAAAGAAGAAAGAAGGAAAGAAAAAAGAAAGAAAGAAAGAAGGAAAGAAAGAAGAAAGAAAGAAGGAAAGAAAGAAGAAAGAAGAAAAAAAGAAGAAAGAAGGAAAGAAAGAAAGAAAGAAGAAAGAAGGAAAGAAAGAAGAAAGAAGGAAAGAAAGAAGAAAGAAGAAAAAAGAAGAAAGAAAGGAAAGAAAGAAGAAUGAAGGAAAGAAAGAAAGAAGAACGAAGGAAAGAAAGAAAGAAGAACAAAGGAAAGAAAGAAAGAAGGAAAGAAAGAAGGAAAGAAAGAAAGAAGAAGGAAAGAAAGAAAGAAGAAAGAAGGAAAGAAAAAAGAAAGAAGGAAAGAAAGAAAGAAGAAUGAAGGAAAGAAAGAAAGAAAGAAAGAAGAAAGAAGGAAAGAAAGAAAGAAAGAAGAAGGAAAGAAAGAAGAAAGAAGGAAAUAAAGAAAGAAGAAAGAAAGAAAGAAAGAGAAAGAAAGAAAGAAAGAAAAAGAAAGAAAGAAAGAAAGAAAGAAAGAAAGAAAGAAAGAAAGAAAGAAAGAAAGAAAGAAAGAAAGAAAGAAAGAAAGAAAAAGAAAGAAAGCUAAGACUGGUUGGCAUGGGGAUCAACUCUUGGGAACCUGACUCUAAA